CAGUUAUCGUUCAUGAUCGGAUUAAAGAAGACAUAGAUUUUGUGCUAAGAUUCUUUAUUGAAUAUUUUUCACUAAAUUCGGUAAUUCCAUAAAAAAACUUCGUGAAUCCUAGCUAAAUAAUAUAUUUUGCAGUUUAAAAUAAAAUUAUCUUAAAAAAAAUUAACUUUUUCCGCAAAGUAUCUAUAGCAAAAUAUUUUUGUAUCUUUGAUGAAAAUAAAACAGCAAUGAGUGAUGUAACGCUUGGGAAGAUAGAGUGUGGUGAAAUGCUAUAGUAAUAUGUUCGCAUAGAGGCUCCUAUGUUUUUUUAGUGUUUAUGUUUGGUUUGUUGUAUUUUUAUUUCAAAAACAAAACAAAAACAAACCCAAAAUAAAAAUAUAAGCUUUCGGUGCAAAGCAAAGCAUGGCUAAAAAAUGCGCGAUUCGUUCGCUCAGCGACAGUUCGUUGGCCGAAUUGGCAAACGUUAUAGUGUCAACAAUUGGAUACUCUAUGCAUGUUGACCUCGAUCGUGACAUUAGCAUAACAAUGGUUGAAAUAAAUUCAUAUCUAGAACUUGCUGGUGCUACUAGCAAUAUUUAUCAGGAUCUCUUGAGAGUAAUCCUUGGAUCUGAUUAUCUCGAAGCAUCGAUGAGAUUUACUUGUCUGCAAAUGCUCCUCAAUUGCGGUGUUCAAUUUUUAGUAACUGAAGUAUUUCCAUUUUCGUACUAUGAGAAAAUUUUACAAGUUAUAGCUGCACAAGGCACAGGACUGCGCACUUUGAACUUGAAAGGUAUUUGGGUAAAAGAGGAGCACAUGCACUAUAUGUUUGACAUAAUGAAGAAAUGUUCAUAUUUGACUAAACUUUAUAUUCCAUACAUUGCAAAUGAUGAAUUGCUUGAAGUGAUCGGGCGUACUUGUACGAAACUGCAGCUAAUUGAUAUUUCUGGUGAAACGGAUAUUACCGAAAUUGGUGUUGAAUAUCUUAGCAAAGGUGUUUCCUGCCAGCUACUGACUGUGGUCGAUGUUGGCAUGCCGGGCGAAGAAAAUAUUUGUUACUCGGACAUUGCAAUGAUUUUAGAACAUUGUCCAAAUGUACAAACACUAGCAACAUAUUCGUAUGUAGGGCCAGCGCUUAAAUUUAUAUAUGAUAACAUAGAUGAAGAUUUUAAAUGCAAACUUAAGUACCUACAUGAUACUGGAACAGAUACGGAUACUCUGCGAGUGAUUGUGAAAACUUGCCCAAAAUUGGAGUCACUUUAUCUAGAUACUCCGAAUAAGGGAAUUCUGCAUAUAUUGAAGAAUACAUUUUUGCGAAAAAUUAAAAUAUACAAAUUUCAAUGCAAGGAGCUUAUGAGUGCGUUGGAGAUAAUCGGGCGUAAUUUGAGUCAUUUGACAAUGAUCAAGGGAGAUGGUAAUCUUGAUAUUGGAAAACUAACAUGGAUUUGUCCGAUGCUAAUUGACUUGGAUUGUUAUAUGAUGGACACGAUGUCAUAUGGUUGUAUUCGAAAAUUUGAAAAGCUAGAAGGCUUAGAGAUGUUAAGUAGUCCAAUGAAUGAGAGUUCAUUAAAAAGCUUUAUUUGCAAUUCAACUAGUUUAAAAAGACUUGCUGUCGAUUCUGUUUCAUUUAGCGAUGAAGAUAUCACAAGCAUUUUUGUGGAAAAUGAUUUCAUGGAACUAGAAGAUGUUUGGUUUACGUUGGCACCAAACUUAACGAUUACUUCUAUAGAGAUACUAAUGGAACGUUGUCCGGAACUCCAAAGUGUUGGCCAGUUGAGUGGUUGGUCCUUGACACAAGACGAUCUUGCACUUAUCCGAGGAUUGCUGAAAAGUGGAAAUUCUUGCCUUGUACUUUCUCCUACAACUUUUUUUCCCUAACUCAAAAUAACACCAAAAUGUGUGAAAACUAACGGAAUUUAGUAAUAAUAUGUGUACAUGAGUGUGCUUAAGCUUAAACGUUUAUAAGCUGAUACAAAACUUAUUAUAUUGAUGACUCUUUAUCAUAACCUUUAUAUUUAAAGAGAUUACAGUAGUUGAAAGCCUAAGGAUAUACUAUACAACCAAAAACUGGCAUGGACCAGAAUAUAAUGUGAUUAAUGAGAACAAUGUAAAGACAAUAACUAAAUAAAAUAACAGACAUUUUAU